AGGUCACUGCUAUCGGUGUUCGAUUAAGCCAUGCGAGUCGUGAGGGGUAAAGCCCUCGGCGGAGUGCUCAGUAACACGUGGACAACCUACCCAAGAGUCAGGGAUAACCCCGGGAAACUGGGGAUAAUACCUGAUAGGCCAUGACAUCUGGAAUCGAGUUGUGGUUUAAACGUAAGGCUCUUGGAUGGGUCUGCGGCGGAUUAGGUUGUUGCCGGUGUAACGUACCAGCAAGCCUGUAAUCCGUACGGGUUGUGGGAGCAAGAGCCCGGAGAUGGAUUCUGAGACGCGAAUCCCGGCCCUACGGGGCGCAGCAGGCGCGAAAACUCUACAAUGCAGGCAACUGCGAUAGGGGAACAUCGAGUGGCAUCCACCAUGGAUGUCUGUCCAAUCGUCUAAAAAACGAUUGUCAGCAAGGGCCGGGCAAGACCGGUGCCAGCCGCCGCGGUAAUACCGGCGGCUCGAGUGGUGGCCGAUAUUAUUGAGUCUAAAGGGUCCGUAGCCGGCUUUGCAAGUCCUAUGGGAAAUCCAGCGGCUUAACCGUUGGGCUUUCAUGGGAUACUACAUUGCUUGGGACUGGGAGAGGUAGGAGGUACUCAGGGGGUAGGGGUGAAAUCCUGUAAUCCUUUGGGGACCACCGGUGGCGAAGGCGUCCUACCAGAACAGGUCCGACGGUGAGGGACGAAAGCUAGGGGCACGAACCGGAUUAGAUACCCCGGGUAGUCCUAGCCGUAAACGAUGCUCGCUAGGUGUCACGGCAGUCGUGAAUUGUCCUGAUGCCGUAGGGAAGCCGUGAAGCGAGCCACUUGGGAAGUACGACCGCAAGGUUGAAACUUA
rnacentral:rRNA from 1 species